rnacentral:rRNA from 1 species
GACGAACGCUGGCGGCGUGCCUAAUACAUGCAAGUAGAACGCUGAAGAGAGGAGCUUGCUCUUCUUGGAUGAGUUGCGAACGGGUGAGUAACGCGUAGGUAACCUGCCUUGUAGCGGGGGAUAACUAUUGGAAACGAUAGCUAAUACCGCAUAACAAUGGAUGACACAUGUCAUUUAUUUGAAAGGGGCAAUUGCUCCACUACAAGAUGGACCUGCGUUGUAUUAGCUAGUAGGUGAGGUAAUGGCUCACCUAGGCGACGAUACAUAGCCGACCUGAGAGGGUGAUCGGCCACACUGGGACUGAGACACGGCCCAGACUCCUACGGGAGGCAGCAGUAGGGAAUCUUCGGCAAUGGGGGCAACACUGACCGAGCAACGCCGCGUGAGUGAAGAAGAUUUUCGGAUCGUAAAGCUCUGUUGUAAGUCAAGAACGGGUGUGAGAGUGGAAAGUUCACACUGUGACGGUAGCUUACCAGAAAGGGACGGCUAACUACGUG